AAACCAGCACCUCAAGUGGUCAGGAGGAUUAUUGGGCCUAAAGCAUCCGUAGCCUGGUCUAUAAGUUUCCGGUUAAAUCCAUUAGCUCAACUGAUGGGCCGCCGGAAAAACUGCAAAGCUAGGGAGUGGGAGAGGUAGACGGUACUCGGUAGGAAGGGGUAAAAUCCUUUGAUCUAUUGAUGACCACCUGUGGCGAAGGCGGACUACCAGAACACGUUCGACGGUGAGGGAUGAAAGCUGGGGGAGCAAACCGGAUUAGAUACCCGGGUAGUCC
rnacentral:rRNA from 1 species